GAAGUUGGAUUCGCUAGUAAUCGCGCAUCAGCCAUGGCGCGGUGAAUACGUUCCCGGGCCUUGUACACACCGCCCGUCAAGCCAUGGGAGCCGGGGGUGCCUGAAGUUCGUUACCGCAAGGAUCGACCUAGGGCAAAACUGGUGACUGGGGCUAAGUCGUAACAAGGUAUC
rnacentral:rRNA from 1 species